ensembl:lncRNA
UCAACCCAGCUUUGUAAAUGAUGGUCAAGAAUUCUUGGAGAGAAGAAACUCACAGGAUAAAUUUAGAGAAGCUAAACUUAACAUACUUUUAUCUAUGUACAGAAUGCGUGAGGAAUGAAGCAGAGAGAUGACACAGCAGCUCCUGAUUCAGAAGCUCCUGAACUGAAAAUUGGGAGAGCAUUGCACUACAUCCUACCUCACACUUCAGCCUUUACUUCUCUGUGAAAAGAUACAGAAAGACCUCAGUAAUUGACAGGACAUCUACUUUGAUCUGAUUUUGGCAACAUAUGCCAAAUCUCUCAGAGGUGACUAUUCUACAGUCCUACCUGCCUACGAGCCAGCCACGCCUUUCUCUAAGGGGAAAUACUUGUUUCAAUUGUUACAGCUGCACUAGUAACGCACAUCAACAGUAAUAUACUGGAGAAGACACUUAAGGGUGUAAUGGAGCAAAAUGUCCUACAUGGAUGUAUUACAUGAAUCGGCUGUUGUUGUAAUUGAGAUGACCUCUGAACAGCCUUCUAUAUGCCUCUGUAACAAGUUUCUUCUUCUUCUCUGAGAUGCUAAUUGCUGUAUUUUUUGACUGAAUACAAUUUACACCCAUAUUUUCAUUUUUGAAAAUACAGAGAAGGAACAUGAGAAAUAAAAAUAAGUUAAUAAAAUUGAAUCCCCUACUACACACUCCAGUGUGUAUGCACUGUGAAGUCUUCAGGUUUUGUACACUUCAUCAUGUUUUUUAAUUCUUACUUUAGCCAACUGGGAUAACAGUAAUUUAAUUCCCUCAAAGUGAAAACACACUUUUACUCAAAAUUUCUAAUGUUUUCAUUCACCUCAAGUAGAAAAGAUGCUUGGUUAAUAGAGCAAUUUUCCCUUCCUUCCCUCCAAAGGCAGUACUUUACCAACCUCCAGCAGCUCCAUACUACUCCUUUCCUAGCUCAUCAAUACCUGUGAGCAGUGAGCUUCUUAUUAUCUUAACAAUGAAGGCUUGUAAUUCUACCUUAUUAUGAUAAAUUAUCAACCGGCAAACUAUUAUAUGGAAAUUUUCAAAACGUAGGAAAAAAAAUGUAGAAAUGCAGGCCAAAAAUUCAGUAAAGUUUGCAUGUAAUGAAAAUAUUUUAACAAGUGAAGUAUAACAAUGCAAUAUUAAGUCUAAUAUUGGUGACAUUUCACAGAUCUUGUUAGAAACUAGAGAGCAGGCUUUAUUUGAACUUUGCUGCCCUUAUAUUAAAUUUUCUUUUUUAGAAUUAAUUUAUUUCCUUGUAGUUCUCAUUAUGUUUUUAUUGCAUUCAUGGAAUAGUGGAGCAUUUCUCUAACUAAUUUAACACCUGUAAAUUCCCAUGGCUGCUAACGAAAGACUGUGUAGACUACCAGAUAAAUUUCUAAUUCAUAUUUCAAAGGUUGGGAGUUCAAAUCCUAUUAAGGUUGUACUUAUUAAUGUUUCUAUUAACUCUUUUCCAUCCCUGAAGUUAAAGAUUGAAUUAAUACUUCCAGUUUUUCUAAAGAAACAAAGCAUAUUUUCUCCAAAGUGUCACACAAACUGGAGCCAAGGAAGAAGGAAACAAACUUAGUAAAAGGACAGUUCAGAUAUUGAUACUUUUCAAAGGGAUUACGCCAUUAUUUAAAUUAAAGGCAAAACCUAUUAACUACAGGUCUUGAAUCCUUCAAGUAGAGAUAAAUUCUGAUGUAUAAAAACAGUGAAAAUCCAUAGUAUUCCUAUCUAGUGCAACUGCAUUACUGUAUUUUGAAUUCUAUUUCCCUUUCUAAACCUUUCCCUUACAACAGUUAUCACUUAACCUCCCAGUGCAUCAGUUUACUCAUCUGUAAAACGGAUGCAAUAUUUAUUGACCUCCUAGUUUAAUAAUCCUGAAUACUUUGCACUGCUAUAGGUAUUUCCAUUAAAAUUUUGAAGCUAAUAAAGUAA